AGGAUCAUUAUUGAAUAAACUUGGUUGGGUUGUUGCUGGCUUUUCGGAGCAUGUGCACACCUAGCACCAUUUUUACCACCUGUGCACAUUUUGUAGAUUUGAAACACCUCUUGAGGAAACUCAGUUUGAGGAAUGCUUAUGGGCGCAAGCUUUUAGGCUUUCCUUGCGUUUCAAGUCUAUGUUUUUAUAUACCCCAUAAGAAUGUAAUAGAAUGUCAUUAAUGGGCUUAUGCCUUUAAAUUAAUACAACUUUCAACAACGGAUCUCUUGGCUCUCGCAUCGAUGAAGAACGCAGCGAAAUGCGAUAAGUAAUGUGAAUUGCAGAAUUCAGUGAAUCAUCGAAUCUUUGAACGCACCUUGCGCUCCUUGGUAUUCCGAGGAGCAUGCCUGUUUGAGUGUCAUUAAAUUCUCAACCUUUUCAGCUUUUACAAGUUGGAUUGGCUUGGAUGUGGAGGUUUUUGCAGGCUUCUCAGAAGUCAGCUCCUCUUAAAUGCAUUAGCGGAACCUUUGUGGACCAGCUUUGGUGUGAUAAUUAUCUACGCCAUGGUUGUGAAGCAGCUAUUAUAUGGGGUUCAGCUUCUAACAGUCCAUUGACUUGGACAAUUUCUUGACAUUUUGACCUCAAAUCAGGUAGGACUACCCGCUGAACUUAAGCAUAUCAAUAAGCGGAGGAAAAGAAACUAACAAGGAUUCCCCUAGUAACUGCGAGUGAAGCGGGAAAAGCUCAAAUUUAAAAUCUGGCGGUCUCUGGCCGUCCGA
rnacentral:rRNA from 1 species